rnacentral:rRNA from 1 species
GACGAACGCUGGCGGCGUGCUUAACACAUGCAAGUCGAACGGAAAGGCCCUGCUUUUGCGGGGUGCUCGAGUGGCGAACGGGUGAGUAACACGUGAGUAACCUGCCCUUGACUUUGGGAUAACUUCAGGAAACUGGGGCUAAUACCGGAUAGGAGCUCCUGCUGCAUGGUGGGGGUUGGAAAGUUUCGGCGGUUGGGGAUGGACUCGCGGCUUAUCAGCUUGUUGGUGGGGUAGUGGCUUACCAAGGCUUUGACGGGUAGCCGGCCUGAGAGGGUGACCGGCCACAUUGGGACUGAGAUACGGCCCAGACUCCUACGGGAGGCAGCAGUGGGGAAUAUUGCACAAUGGGCGGAAGCCUGAUGCAGCAACGCCGCGUGCGGGAUGACGGCCUUCGGGUUGUAAACCGCUUUCGCCUGUGACGAAGCGUGAGUGACGGUAAUGGGUAAAGAAGCACCGGCUAACUACGUGCCAGCAGCCGCGGUGAUACGUAGGGUGCGAGCGUUGUCCGGAUUUAUUGGGCGUAAAGGGCUCGUAGGUGGUUGAUCGCGUCGGAAGUGUAAUCUUGGGGCUUAACCCUGAGCGUGCUUUCGAUACGGGUUGACUUGAGGAAGGUAGGGGAGAAUGGAAUUCCUGGUGGAGCGGUGGAAUGCGCAGAUAUCAGGAGGAACACCAGUGGCGAAGGCGGUUCUCUGGGCCUUUCCUGACGCUGAGGAGCGAAAGCGUGGGGAGCGAACAGGCUUAGAUACCCUGAUAGUCCACGCUGUAAACGGUGGGUACUAGGUGUGGGGUCCAUUCCACGGGUUCCGUGCCGUAGCUAACGCUUUAAGUACCCCGCCUGGGGAGUACGGCCGCAAGGCUAAAACUCAAAGGAAUUGACGGGGCCCCGCACAAGCGGCGGAGCAUGCGGAUUAAUUCGAUGCAACGCGUAGAACCUUACCUGGGUUUGACAUGGAUCGGGAGUGCUCAGAGAUGGGUGUGCCUCUUUUGGGGUCGGUUCACAGGUGGUGCAUGGCUGUCGUCAGCUCGUGUCGUGAGAUGUUGGGUUAAGUCCCGCAACGAGCGCAACCCUUGUUCACUGUUGCCAGCACGUUAUGGUGGGGACUCAGUGGAGACCGCCGGGGUCAACUCGGAGGAAGGUGGGGAUGACGUCAAGUCAUCAUGCCCCUUAUGUCCAGGGCUUCACGCAUGCUACAAUGGCUGGUACAGAGAGUGGCGAGCCUGCGAGGGUGAGCGAAUCUCGGAAAGCCGGUCUCAGUUCGGAUUGGGGUCUGCAACUCGACCUCAUGAAGUCGGAGUCGCUAGUAAUCGCAGAUCAGCAACGCUGCGGUGAAUACGUUCCCGGGGCU